rnacentral:tRNA from 1 species
AGGGAUUUAGCUUAGUGGCACAGCACCUACCUGGCAAGCAUGAGUUCCUGAGUUCAAUUCCCAGGACUUCUC